rnacentral:rRNA from 1 species
AUUGAACGCUAGCGGCAGGCUUAACACAUGCAAGUCGAGCGGAGAUGAGGUGCUUGCACCUUAUCUUAGCGGCGGACGGGUGAGUAAUGCUUAGGAAUCUGACUAUUAGUGGGGGACAACAUUCCGUAAGGGAUGCUAAUACCGCAUACGUCCUACGGGAGAAGGCAGGGGAUCUACGGACCUUGAGCUAAUAGAUGAGCCUAAGUCGGAUUAGCUAGUGGGUGGGGUAAAGGCCUACCAAGGCGACGAACUGCAGCGGGUCUGAGAGGAUGUUCCGCCCCACUGGGACUGCGACACGGCCCAGACUCCUACGGGAGGCAGCAGUGGGGAAUAUUGGACAAUGGGCGCAAGCCUGAUCCAGCCAUGCCGCGUGUGUGAAGAAGGCCUUAUGGUUGUAAAGCACUUUAAGCGAGGAGGAGGCUACUUUAGUUAAUACCUAGAGAUAGUGGACGUUACUCGCAGAAUAAGCACCGGCUAACUCUGUGCCAGCCGCCGCGGUAAAAC